rnacentral:lncRNA from 1 species
AGAUCUUGAGAAGAUGUCCGAGAAAUGUACUUGUGGUGUGCUUGAGGUAUAAGUUGUAUCUUGUUGUUAUUAUUGUUUGCGUAUUUUAAUUUUGUAUUAUAUUUAUGUUGUUUUUAUGAUGCAGAAAUUGAAUUCAUUGGGUCUAAUCAACCACACAAAUUCAAAUCAGUUGGAAAUUCAAGAGAAUGUAGUUGAGAAAGUUAUGGGUGGUACAAGCACAAAAGAAUUUUU